CGGGUGUCGUAUUUUGAAAGUUUGGUAGUGGUUGAGGAGAAAAACGUAUGUAAUUUGAGUUAGAAAACUGGCGGAAAGAAAAUCGGGACGACACACUAGGUGGCUGAUGUAAUAAAUAAUUUAUCUGGUAUUUAAAACAAACUAUAAAUAAAACACGUUAUCAUACUUUGUAAAAUGAUUAAUAAAUAAGACACAUUAUCAUAUUUUGUAGAGUACCGAGAAAAUUUUACAUUGAAAUAUACUUACAUUUGUAAUAUAGUUCUUGGAAUACUUUAAAUUUUCAAAACGAAAAUACCACUUGAAAUCAAUUCAUGACCUUUCAUAUUGCUUCCCACGUGUACGGUAUGAUUCAAAGAUCAAGCGGAUGUUUCAACUUUUUCCAAAGUGGUUAAUUAAGUUUGUGUCCAAU
rnacentral:lncRNA from 1 species